rnacentral:rRNA from 1 species
GAUGAACGCUGACGGCGUGCCUAAUACAUGCAAGUCGAGCGAACGGACGAGAAGCUUGCUUCUCUGAUGUUAGCGGCGGACGGGUGAGUAACACGUGGAUAACCUACCUAUAAGACUGGGAUAACUUCGGGAAACCGGAGCUAAUACCGGAUAAUAUUUUGAACCGCAUGGUUCAAAAGUGAAAGACGGUCUUGCUGUCACUUAUAGAUGGAUCCGCGCUGCACUAGCUAGUUGGUAAGGUAACGGCUUACCAAGGCAACGAUGCAUAGCCGACCUGAGAGGGUGAUCGGCCACACUGGAACUGAGACACGGUCCAGACUCCUACGGGAGGCAGCAGUAGGGAAUCUUCCGCAAUGGGCGAAAGCCUGACGGAGCAACGCCGCGUGAGUGAUGAAGGUCUUCGGAUCGUAAAACUCUGUUAUUAGGGAAGAACAUAUGUGUAAGUAACUGUGCACAUCUUGACGGUACCUAAUCAGAAAGCCACGGCUAACUACGUG